rnacentral:rRNA from 1 species
GACGAACGCUGGCGGCGUGCUUAACACAUGCAAGUCGAGCGGUAAGGCCCUUCGGGGUACACGAGCGGCGAACGGGUGAGUAACACGUGAGUAAUCUGCCCAUCACUUCGGGAUAACUCCGGGAAACCGGUGCUAAUACCGAAUAUGACCACUUCAGGCAUCUGAUGGUGGUGGAAAGUUCCGGCGGUGAUGGAUGAGCUCGCGGCCUAUCAGCUUGUUGGUGGGGUAGUGGCCUACCAAGGCUUCGACGGGUAGCCGGCCUGAGAGGGUGACCGGCCACACUGGGACUGAGACACGGCCCAGACUCCUACGGGAGGCAGCAGUGGGGAAUAUUGGACAAUGGGCGAAAGCCUGAUCCAGCAACGCCGCGUGAGGGAUGACGGCCUUCGGGUUGUAAACCUCUUUCAGCAGGGACGAAGCGCAAGUGACGGUACCUGCAGAAGAAGCACCGGCAAACUACGUG